CUACGUUGCCCAGGCUGGUAGCUCCUGGGUUCAAGCAAUCCUCUUGCCUUGGCCUCCCAAAGUGCUGGGAUUACAGGUGUGAGCCACCGGCCCAUUACUUUUUAUGGUGCUCCCACACUUACCCAAAACUUUAGCACAUCUGUCCCUGGUCUCAUGGAGUCUGCCAUCAUUGCCCACCAGUGACUUGCUGCAUUGCACUGCUGGUCCCUGAUCUGGAAUGAUCGCCCAAGGCCUCUGACUCACAUUCUCACUGGGGCAGAUGGAUUGUGGGGUAUCAAGGUAGGAGAAAGACAAAGCAGCAGAGAAGCAGGUAAUGGGAAUGGAAGCUGUGUGAGUGCCAAGUUGCGUAACUGGAUGUUGGGAGUUAUCUAUUGCAUUUCUGUCUUUCUUAAACUGCAGUUAUUUUUGAAUUAUAAUUUGGCUAUAAAAAUCAUGGAUGGGCUAGGCGCUCACGCCUGUAAUCCCAGCACUUUGGGAGGCCGAGGCGGGCGGAUCACCUUAGGUCAGGAGUUUAAGACCAGCCUGGCCAACAUGGUAAAACCCUGUCUGUACUAAAAAGGCAAAAAUUCGUUGGGCGUGGUGAUGCAUACCUGUAAUCCCAGCUGCUUGGGAGUCUGAGGCAUGAGAAUCCCUUGCCCGUGGAAAGCGGAGGUUGCAGUGAGAUCAUGACACUGCACUCUAGCCUGGGCAGUAGAGUGGGACUCUGUCUCAAAAAAAAAAAAAAAAGGAUGGAUGAAUGUUUUAAACGAGAUGUUCCUGAUUUUCUGUUUUCUGUACUUGAAUUUCAAGUGGUGAUUUCUGAACUUGCACAGUUUCAACCGGGCACUCAAUCACAGGCGUAUUGCAAGGGAGGGGUUUAUAGGUCUGUGCUGGGACUUGUUCUGCACUUCUCCACCCUUUCCAGGAAUGGAAAGUCAAGUAUAUGUCAUAACUUAUCCCUCAGGAACCCGGGAGCCUUACUUCUGACUCUUCUGGGGCCCAUUACAGGAAAGCCUGACUAAUUAGGAACUGGAUUGAGUAUGGGGUGGGGUGGGGUUCAGUGCUUAGUUAUCUGUUCACAGAAGUGGGAAGGAGAAAUCUGUCUACAUUGUUUUCUUUGCUGGAACAACCAUCCAAGGGAAAUCUUUUAAAAUCUUUCCCAGAAAAAGAUUCUAUGUAUGAUGGAGAAUACUGGUAUUUGUCAGCAAUUUAUGUUUACAUAAAUAUAAAUUCAAUGAUUAAAAUGAUUGUCUUCUCCUAAUCCAGUCAUUCCCAAUCUUUCUGAAGUUUCAGUACCUUGGCCACAGAUUGACCAACGUUUGUAUCUUUGUUCUUAAUGUUUCCUAACAGCAUAUUUUAAACUAAACUGAUGUAAAGCUAUCUUUUCCUUGAAUUUCUGAGAAUUCUUUGACUUCUGAGGUAGUUGGUAUAAUACUUGGGCUCUGACAAAACCAGGAUUGGGAAUCCCUGCUGUGGAUCUGUCAUCUUUGCCGUUUCUUCUCCAAUAUUCUUGUCCCUCACAGAUGACCUUUCACCCCUCCUUGAGGUUUUCUGGUUUCUAUUCUUUCUCACUCUCUGCUUUUUCAUUUCUAGUACUUCAUAUCCAAUAAGCUCAGUGCUUGUAGUGGAUCAUUCCCUUGAGGUGACACAAAACCUGUUUAUUAUCAACAUGUAGUGAAUUUUUUUUCCCAUUAGAUUGGCUACGAAAUAAAGUGUGAAAUAUGCCAGACAUCCUGACAGUAAAGGUUAGCUCAGUUGCUAGUCAUUGUCUGUUGCAUGUCUGACUGGAAAAUUGGAACAUCAGCACUUACUGCUUGGUAUGAGUCCAGUUUAAAAACCGAUGAUGACUUAGGCAAUGGCAGGGUUCCUUAGCAGUUGCUUGGAUCACAAGCUUAGACCUGAAGGUACCCUCUAAACUUUCUCCACUCUCAUUCCUGUAGCAGCUACUGCAGCCAACCAAAUCCGCGUCCCACCCCUGACUUCCCACGUGGAGCCGGGUGUGCCGGGUAUACGUCACAAGGCCAUGCCCGGGGUCGGGCGGCAUCAUGUGGCCUUCCCCGACCCACCCUUUGGCUGUCUGUCCCAGCCCUUCUCUAGAAAGUAGUGUCCCACUUCAGGUCACCAGCUGCUCUAGGGGCAGAGGCUACGCCCUUUCAUGGACGCUAAUAACAAAUAACGUAUCUCAGAAGGGAACAUAGGAACUGCAUUAUUUGGCUUUUCUGAUGUUGGGCAGAUCAGUGAAGGAUGCUGUUGUGCUCCAGUCACUGACAUUUUUCAUAGAACAUUACCCCAGAGUACACAGAAAUGAUUCCAAAAAAUAUAGAAGUCUUUGCCUAGUAAGUCACUGCAGAAGUGCUGAAAUCUGAAGAAAGGAAGAGCAGUUCAUGAAUGCCCAUCUCCACGUUGUUCACUGGGCUGUCCUAACCUCCCCUGCUCCCAGAGAAUACCAGAUGGCUUUACAAUUGAGGUGGUUCAAACGCAGAAGGCCCUUUUUCCUUUUAUUAAUUGCUCAGUUAUCUGAACAUGGGCCCCCACCCCUGCCACCUGGCCAGCGUGGCUUCUGCCUCCCUCGGCACUGCCAGGCGGGUGUUUUCUUAGACUCAUCCUCUGGGCCACCUUCAACUCCUCUCCCUCCCUCUGCAUUAACAUCCAGGCCACCCUCAUUAGUCCUUGGCAACCUAGCUUGGGUUGGCCUCCCCAGCCAGCCUUCCAGGCUGUUCUUUCUCUCCCUUGCAGCCUGUCUUGCACACCACUGUGACCAGGUCCAUCUUUCUGAGAAUACCAUUUCCUCACAUCAUGGCCCUGUUUACAAAGCUGUUUCCCAUUUGCCUAUCACAUCAGAUCAAAUCGGAACUCUUCGGCUCUGGAUUGAAGCCGACGCCACUGUUCCUGGCAAGCCUCGUUGCCCUUCGAUCCCGGCGUUGGCCUCCGUCCCUGCCAGGCCUCGUACGAUGCUGCUCUCUGGCGUCCUGCCAUCUCCAGCUCUGCCUGCACGUUGCUCCUGCAUUUCUCUCCACCUCAUAAGACUCUUAUUCCACAGCGCUGGCCAGGCCAAAGCAUACAUGGCCCAGUUAGCUCCCUUUUACUUGAAAUAUUCUCUGAGGAGCCCCUAGGUAUUUUUCUUUACUCACCAGAGACUUGUAGUCAGGGCCACACUGAUAUCAUUUGGGAAUUAUUUGCAAAGUCACAGCUCUGGACUUCUCUCUCCAGCUACAUCAUGAGUUUCUCAGCUAAAUCACAGGCCCACAGUUCCUGCUGCAGCUGGUAAACACUUUCAGUCACGGAAGGAAGCCUUUUUCGGUUCUCAGCUCUGCCAAGGAACUUAUUUCAUGUACACAAAACCACAAACUGUGAGAGGAUUGCUGCCUGUAUCCUGUUCCCCCUCAUCUUUUUUUUCUUUAAAAAGAUGGUAAAGCUGAUUAUAAGAAUUUAAGUAACAUGGCCCUAGAACUAUACUCUGACUCUGAGCCCUGUGUCCUGCCCACAGCACCAGGCCACGAAGACGUACCACGUCGCUACCCUCACAUUUGCUUGUAACUUAGGAGGCUUGCUAAUAAAAUCGAUGGUAACAGUGGAUAUACUUCUCUUUUAAUACAUUUAUUCUAUUUCCUUCUCCCAUUUUCUUUAUUUGUUGAAAAGAAUGUGCUGAUUGAGAAGCCAAGUAUUAUUAACCAUUUUCCCCAUCUGUCAUGGUUCUUUUGCAUAGCACUGGAUUAGGCCGGGGGACUGGCCUAACCCUGCAAAUAUCAGGAAAAAGAUUCUUCUAGGGGAAGUCUUACUAAUCUGAAUUGAUCACUAGAAAUACAUAGUCUCUACCUAAAGGACGCUUUGUCACUUAAAAUGCCAAGUAGUUGUCAUAAUGUAAAGAAACCUCCAUUGCCAGGCAACCAUUUGCACCCGGACAUUGUGCCUGGUUGCACUUAACAUUUUAUCAUUUGAUUCUUACACCAGCCCUCCAAUGUGAUGAAACCAAGGCUCCUAGGUGCUAAGUGACAUUCCCCUAGUCAUGCAGCCUAGUGGUAAAGCGGAGAUUCAAGUCUAGUUUUUGUUUUCCUUUGAGCUGGAGCUGCAA